rnacentral:rRNA from 1 species
GCGGACUACGGGCAGGGGGCCGCGGUAAUGCGGAGGGUGCAAGCGUUGUGCGGAAUAAUUGGGCGUACAGAGCGCGUAGGCGGCCCGGUAAGUCCGCUGUAAAAGGCCAGGGCUCAACCCUGGAAAGCCGGUGGAUACUGUCGGGCUAGAGUCCGGAAGAGGCGAGUGGAAUUCCUGGUGUAGCGGUGGAAUGCGCAGAUAUCAGGAGGAACACCGAUGGCGAAGGCAGCUCGCUGGGACGGUACUGACGCUGAGGCGCGAAAGCGUGGGGAGCGAACAGGAUUAGAUACCCCAGUAGUC